CCUUCCCUUUUACCCUAAAACUUUCUCCUCUUACUUCAAUACUUCCAUCUCCUUGUUUCAAGACAAAAUAAAAAUGACAACAUGUAUUUCCAAGAUACCCCUUUUAUCUGAUCCCUCAUUCCCCUGUCUCCUUACCCCUGUCCACCCCCUCAAAUAAUAAUCAAUUAAGGUUCUCAAGGGGUUUGAUUGACUUGUUUGUAUUUUUUGAAAAUAUUACAUAAUUGGCCUAAUUUG
rnacentral:lncRNA from 1 species